GUGGCAGACACUCUAAAUGUGGAGGGCUCCGGUAGUGCGCUAUCCGCGCUCUUCGUCCACCAGCCGCCGCCAGGAAACUUCCCCGCAUUCCUACCCCGCGCUGGCGACUGCAUCUUCCGGGGCCGAGCCCUCGAUCCGGCGCGCUUCGCCGCCGGCAUCGAGGCAGGAGGGCGAGAAGCGGCCGUGCGGAGGCGGGUCUAUCGGCGUAGAGCUCGCACCCCUUGGAACCGAGGCCGCGCGACCCCCCGCAACCGAAGAUCCAAGCCAGCUUCCCCCUGUUCGUCGCCGGAGAGUCACCAUCGGCAAAAGGCUUCGUCGUCCGCCGACUUCGUCGAAGGCAGCCGGCAAAAGGAAGAGAACCUCCUCGCCGCCGUCGUCUUCGUCUUCGAUUCGGUCCACCGAGGCAGAUCCGCGAACAGCGAGCCAUGGAUUCGGAGAACGAAAAGCUCCGUAAAGCACUGGCUACUCUGCUCAGAGUUGUUCAAAAGCGUAGUUGUGACAUCGUUGAUGUCGUGAAAUCAGCCUUCCAGCCUUUCAACUCACCUUUGCUCGACGAAUUGAACCGAGCACUAGUUGAGAUUGACGACCUCGCUAAGGAUCUUGAAGACGUAGCAGUGCAAACUCAGUGGGAGGUAGAAAAUAUGGGUACGAGUGAAGUCAAAGAACAUCCACAACAAGAGGAAGCAGUAGAGGAGCUUCUCAUACAAGAUGGUUCAGAAGACGAGCUACUGAUAGACGAACAGUCACCAAUUAAGUAUGAAGCCCUUGUGGGCUACGACGAUGGUCGUGACUACUCAACCGACGACACAUAUCCGUACUAGUGUUCUAGGUUAAACUUUAGUACAAGUAUUGUAGCAUGUUUAGGUCUAUGUUCAGGUGUACUUGUCGGCUGGUAUGAUCCUGCUUUUGGGGGAGUUUAAUGUUCUGGUCUAUGUAAACUGAAUCCGGUUCAGUUACUACAAUAAUUAAUGUGUUUUCUUGGACUAUGUUUGCCUUACUUUAUACCAUGUUACAUGAUGCCUA